ACUUGUUUAGCUAAAUGGAUAAAGCAUUGACCUUCUAAGUCAAAAAUUAUAGGUUCAAAUCCUAUAACAAGUA
rfam:Conidiobolus coronatus NRRL 28638 unplaced genomic scaffold CONCOscaffold_420, whole genome shotgun sequence.